AGAGACAGCAGUCGCCGCGGUAAUACGUAGGUCCCGAGCGUUGUCCGGAUUUAUUGGGCGUAAAGCGAGCGCAGGCGGUUAGAUAAGUCUGAAGUUAAAGGCUGUGGCUUAACCAUAGUACGCUUUAGAAACUGUUUAACUUGAGUGCAAGAGGGGGGAGUAGAAUUCCAUGUGUAGCGGUGAAAUGCGUAGAUAUAUGGAGGAACACCGGUGGCGAAAGCGGCUCUCUGGCUUGUAACUGACGCUGAGGCUCGAAAGCGUGGGGAGCAAACAGGAUUAGAUACCCCGGUAGUCCCUGUCUCUUAUACA
rnacentral:rRNA from 1 species